rnacentral:miRNA from 8 species
CAAGCUCGAUUCUGUGGGUCUCU